CCUACGGGGGGCUGCAGUGAGGAAUAUUGGUCAAUGGGCGCAAGCCUGAACCAGCCAAGUCGCGUGAGGGAAGACUGCCCUAUGGGUUGUAAACCUCUUUUAUAAGGGGAGAAUAAUGACUACGUGUAGUCAGAUGCCCGUACCUUAUGAAUAAGCAUCGGCUAACUCCGUGCCAGCAGCCGCGGUAAUACGGAGGAUCCGAGCGUUAUCCGGAUUUAUUGGGUUUAAAGGGUGCGUAGGCGGGCUGUUAAGUCAGCGGUAAAAUGUCGGGGCUCAACCCCGGCCUGCCGUUGAAACUGGCGGCCUCGAGUGGGCGAGAAGUAUGCGGAAUGCGUGGUGUAGCGGUGAAAUGCAUAGAUAUCACGCAGAACUCCGAUUGCGAAGGCAGCAUACCGGAGCCCGACUGACGCUGAGGCACGAAAGCGUGGGUAUCGAACAGGAUUAGAUACCCGGGUAGUC
rnacentral:rRNA from 1 species